AGAGUUCGAUCAUGGCUCAGGACGAACGCUGGCGGCGCGCCUAACACAUGCAAGUCGAACGAGAGAUGAGGAGCUUGCUCUUCAAAUCGAGUGGCGAACGGGUGAGUAACGCGUGAGGAACCUGCCUCAAAGAGGGGGACAACAGUUGGAAACGACUGCUAAUACCGCAUAAGCCCACGGCUCGGCAUCGAGCAGAGGGAAAAGGAGUGAUCCGCUUUGAGAUGGCCUCGCGUCCGAUUAGCUAGUUGGUGAGGUAACGGCCCACCAAGGCGACGAUCGGUAGCCGGACUGAGAGGUUGAACGGCCACAUUGGGACUGAGACACGGCCCAG
rnacentral:rRNA from 1 species